rnacentral:rRNA from 1 species
GACGAACGCUGGCGGCGUGCUUAACACAUGCAAGUAGAACGGAAAGGCCCUGCCUUUGUGCGGUGCUCGAGUUGCGAACGGGUGAGUAACACGUGAGUAACCUGCCCGUGACUUUGGGAUAACUUUAGGAAACUGUGGCUAAUACCGGAUAGUAGCUCCUGUUGCAUGGCGGUGGCUGGAAAGUUUCGGCGGUUGGGGAUGGACUCGCGGCUUGUCAGCAUUUUGGUGGGUAGUGGCUUACCACGGCUUUGACGGGUGGCCGGCCUGAGAGGGUGACCGGCCACAUUGUGACUGAGGAGCGAGCCGGAGUGAUACGGGAGGAAUGAGUGGAGGAUAGUGCACGAUGGGCGGAAGCCGGAUGGAGGAACGCCGGGUGCGAAAUGUCGGCCGUCAGGGUAUAAACCGUUUUAGCCUGUGAAGAAGAGUGAGUGACGGUAAUUGGUAAAGAAGCACCGGCUAACUACGUG